rnacentral:rRNA from 1 species
UACGAAGGGGACUAGCGUUGUUCGGAAUUACUGGGGCGUAAAGGGCGCGUAGGCGGCCCGCUAAGUCGAACGUGAAAGCCCCGGGCUCAACCUGGGAACUGCGUCUGAUACUGGAUGGCUUGAAUCCGGGAGAGGGAUGCAGAAUUCCAGGUGUAGCGGUGAAAUGCGUAGAUAUCUGGAGGAAUACCGGUGGCGAAGGCGGCAUCCUGGACCGGCAUUGACGCUGAGGAGCGAAAGCCAGGGGAGCAAAGCGGG